UAGUAUGGGGGAGUCUGCCCGAGUAGAGGGGGAUAACUACUGGGAAACGGUGGCUAAUACCGCAUAAUGUCUACGGACCAAAACAGGGGGCUCUUCGGACCUUGCACUAUCGGAUGAAUCCAUAUGGGAUUAGCUAGUAGGUGGGGUAAAGGCUCACCUAGGCGACGAUCUCUAGCUGGUCUGAGAGGAUGAUCAGCCACACUGGGACUGAGACACGGCCCAG
rnacentral:rRNA from 1 species